GAGAGAAAGCAGUGCAUAGCACAGCAGAGCAAAGCAAGGCAAAAUAGCAGCCAAAGCCACGAGAAUCAAGAAGUCAGUGAAGAGCAGGAAAGGAAUGGAGGAAUCUGUCCAGAGCUGUGCCCCUGCUUGCCACAGGAGCUGCGCGGGAGGAGAAGAACGUGGGCCAAAAGGUGUUCCACUUUGGCUUUGUAUGACACAGUGGACGAGAGGGACGGCGUUCAGUGGAACAAACGCUGCAGACCCUGGGGAGAAUCAAAGCAGGAGAGAGGAAACGUGCCCUUUGCAGCAGGGGCCGUUGUGCUGGCAUUGCCCAUCGCAUCCACUGCUGCUGUGGUCCUUUCUUUCCUUUGGGCAGUUUGCUGUCUCUCACGGGGUUGUCUACAAUAGGUGUUUGUUUGUGUGUCCGUGUGAGGCUGUUGAAUAAAAUUCCUACCUCUGUGUUCUGCUCUGGGUGCGUGGUUUUCUUGCCUCUGCUCCUGAGGCAUCCUGACUGUCGGAUCCAAACGUACCCUGGGACAGACAGACAGACAGACAGCCAAGGCAGGCAGGUGCUGCGAUGCCAACCGUCCAGCCAGCCAAGGCAGGCAGGCACGUGUGUGUGUGUGUGUGUGCAUGCGUGUGGGUGUGCGCAAGGGUGGGGUUGCACAUGUUUUGUGUACACGUGGGUGCACAAGGGGAGGGGUUACACAGCUGUGAGUAAGCACAUGGAGAGUGUAAGGAUGGAGUUGCACACGUGUGUGUGCAAGGGUUAACAAACUGGUGGGGUUGCGCAGGUGCGUGCAUUCACAGGGCUGUGCAAAGUGUUGGGGUUGCACAUGUGGGUGAGUGCGCAAGGGCGGGGUGGUACAGGUUUGUGCACGCAAGUCGUGAGUGCAAGGAAGGGUUGCACACGUGCCUGUAUGCAGGGGUGUGCAAAGGGGUGGGGAUGCACAAGUGUGUGCAUAGAAGUGGUUUUGGGCAAGGAUGGGCUUGCAGAUGUGUGCGUGCACGUGGGUGUGUGCAAGGGUCGAUUUAGACGUGUGUGUGCACGGUUGUGCAAAGGG
rnacentral:lncRNA from 7 species